rnacentral:rRNA from 1 species
CCUACGGGAGGCUGCAGUGGGGAAUAUUGCACAAUGGGGGAAACCCUGAUGCAGCGACGCCGCGUGAGCGAUGAAGUAUUUCGGGAUGUAAAGCUCUAUCAGCAGGGAAGAAAAUGACGGUACCUUACCAAGAAGCCCCGGCUAACGACGUGCCAGCAGCCGCGGUAAUACGGAGGGGGCCAGCGUUAACCGGAUUUACUGGGUGGAAAGGGGGCGGAGACGGCGGUGCAAGCCAGGUGUGAAAGCCCGGGGCCCAACCCCGGGACUGCAUUUGGAACUGUGCGGCUAGAGUGUCGGAGGGGCAGGCGGAAUUCCUGGUGUAGCGGUGAAAUGCGUAGAUAUUAGGAGGAACACCAGUGGCGAAGGCGGCCUGCUGGACGGUGACUGACGUUGAGGCUCGAAAGCGUGGGGAGCGAACAGGAUUAGAUACCCUAGUAGUC